rnacentral:lncRNA from 1 species
GAAUAGGCAAGUGGGUGACAAGUUCCCUUGUUAGGUCACAGGUGCCUUCUCACUGGAUUCCUUCAAGCAAAGACUGGAAGACAACUGGUUACCCAAGUCAUAGAAACAAUUCUUGUUUGGGUACAAGUUGAACUAAAUGACCUCUGAAGAUCAAUGACCAGAAAUCACAAAUAAGUGGCUGAACUUCAACCUAGUUUUUCAGAGAUUAUUGAUGUUCUUGUUUGGUUUUGGCGUGCAUUUCUACUUCACCGAAUAAAUUCACUCUUAAAAUUACUUUUGUGUACUGGGAUAAAAGAAUGCCUCAACAAUGAGGUAUGUUUUCAGAAAAUUCUUGUAUAUCACGAAGUCUAUUUUUAUACACACUAAUUCCACAUAAU